AUUAAAUUUUGAGUUUCUCAUAUCAGUGUUUUUUUCUUUCUUUCUUAAAUGAGAGUGAAUUGUAUCCAAACUGUGCAUUUAAAUUUGCAAAACAGUAGGAUUUGGUUUUUGAGUUUGUGACCGUAUAUUGCUUUUGAGGAGAUUAAAAAAAUAAAAAUAAAUUAAAAUUGGUAUUCAUAUACUAACGAAUUCUGUGUAUUCUAGUAGCGUACGGCCUUAAAUGGAUAAUUUAGAAGACUUAGGCAAAAAGGCCUAUCAGAAACAAAUGUGGGGUGAUUAUGAUGAAGCCAUAACUAUAUACACUACAGCCAUUAAAAAAUAUCCUAAAGACAGUAGAUUAAUAAACAAUAGGUGUCUCUGUUAUAUAGAGAAUAAAGACUAUAAAAGAGCUUUGGAAGAUGCAGAAUCCAUGAUACACCUCUUUCCUGGACAUAUCAAGUCACAUUUUCGUAAAGGAGAAGUACUAACUUGCCUAAAGCGCUAUGCGGAGGCUGAACAGUCGUUUCGUGAAGCCCUGUCCAUGGACCCGGACUGCCAGGAGGCUCAGGAGCAACUCACGGAGGUCCAGAGCACGAUGCUGUCGGCCAAACUGGGCUGCGCGAAGUCCCAGGCCCAGAGAGCCCUGCAGCUUACGGACAAUCUCCUGCCGGAAGCUGAAUAUCUUAUAAGACUGGGAGAGGUACCUGAGAAUGAUUCAGUUUCAAAUGAAAUAUAUAUAUCGGAUGAAGAAGAAUAUGUUAUGGAAAAAGAAUAUGACCCGUUUAUGGACCCCUCCAACCCUUUUCAUAGUACUUCUCUGUGGGUAGGAUUUCUUUCUGAUAAACCGGAUAAAGAUUCUGACCACUUAUCGGAAGAUAUUCUGCAAAAAGCAUUUUCUAAAUAUGGUCGCAUCAAAAGUAUUUUAGUUUACCACGUGCGCCGUUGUGCUUUUAUCAAUUUUUUUGACAGUGUUGGUCCCGGCAAGGCAAUGAAGGCUUUGCAAGGAAAAAUGAUAGGGGAGAGAAAUGUAAUAAUAAAAUAUCCAGACAAUGUACUUACAAAUGGAAUUACUGUUAAUGGCAAUAACAGUAAAAAAAAUAGGCCAAAAUAGCUGUUGGCCUGCCUUCAGUGGAAUCAAAAAUAUUUUAAAUAUGAAAAACACUUCCCCUAUUUUUGUAAAGAUUUUAAAAUGUAGAUGUAGUUACAUUAUGCACACUUUGGUGACUGGUUACCUUUAUAUUGAGGAUUACCUAGUUUAAGGGAUUUAACAUAUACGGCAUGUUUUACCAACUUAGUUUUCUACCCUUUACUAUCUUAAUAAUCUUAAUAAAGUUUUUAAUGUACAAUGUUUUACAGUGGGGUUAAUGUUUAGGUAGUAAGCCUUGUGUUCUGGGAAUCAUUACAACUUGCAAUGACAUUGACUGCUUAUUUCUUUGAAAAGGUGGAUGGGAAUGAUAAUAAAUAUUUAUUCUCUCUUUCUAAAAUUCAUACUGGCCGACAAGAACCAUAUGGGAAAAGAAUUGUGUACUGGGUUGAUUUAUUUGUGAGUUUGUGCUUUUUCCCAAAAUUUUAAAAUAUUUAUUUAAAGUAUUAACAUAAAAAAAUGUUUGUCUUGUGAGGGUGGAUGUGUCAUUAAUAAUAGGACUGAAAAGUUAAAGGAUUGGUAUCCUUAAUAUGUUAAAAUAUUGUGAUCAGUUAGAAGGUUUUAGAUUAUUUUUUGUUUAGUGUGUGUAGUUUGUUUUUGAAAAGUGUACAGUUACACUGGAAACACUGAAGUGAUUUUUAGCAAACACUUUUAGUGGUUUUUGUUUGGUUUUGUGAGAGUAACUCAUUUUGAUUUUGAAAAUUUUUUUUGUUGUCAUAGAUGGUAUUGAUUCAUAGCUUGAGAAGGAUGUAGUAAUUUAAUGCCGAAAGUGAUCUCAUCCUCAUGUUAUUGUAAACAUUUGGGAAAGAACUUAACCAAAAAAAAUUAUGUUUGGUUGAGAAACUAAGUUUUUCAUUACAUGCAAUCUAUAAAUAUUGUGUAAACAUAUUCUAAUUUGAUUCUUAAGUUUAUCUUAAAAUGAUGACAUACUCUGCAGGCAAUUUGGCUUCAGACAUCUUUGUGUCAGUAUUUUUACUUGAGGAUAAUAGAAUUUUUUUUAGGACAUAGUAUAGUUCAGAAAGUGUUCAUUGGUCACAAAUAAAGGCACUUCUAAUGCACAGUAAUGAUCAUACUGGUGCUGAUCCAAGUACAUUUCAGGAAAAAUACCAUAGUAGAAAUCUCGUAAUGUUGUUUCUUGUAUGCCUGAAGUAAAAGUGCCUUCAGUUACAGUAUAGUUCAUCUCACGAUAUCUCGCAGAUAUUCUUUUACAUAAACAUUGGUGUGUAUAUUCUUGCAGCAGCAAUGUUGGCAUCUGUUCAGCGGUCGAGUCCUGUCAACUUGUUGAUUUGUUAUUAAUAAUGUAGUAUAAAAAGUGGUGUCCACUGAAACUAGAAUGUUAGUGAAAAAUCUUAAAUGAUAUGAAAACAAGUGUGUAUUUAGAUUGGUACUUAAAGAUACACACAGGUGUUGGGAGAGCUUAUUCGACCCUCUGUUACGGCCAGCAUUUAUUUAAGGGUUGAGUAAUUUUCCAGUUGAGUUGGGAAAACCAAACUUUAUAAGGGUGUGCAGUUCUUGUGACUGAAAUUUAACUUAGUAGCUGUCAGCAUUACCUUGUGAGAAUUUUCAUUCUGUAUCUAUUCUUUGGAGAAAUUUAUGUAAAAACAGAAGUCUAGAUAAACACCAUUUUCCAUAUUCCGAUCUUCAAAAAUGACAAACUUCCAUACAAACUUUCAUCCCCCUUCGGAGAUGAAUUUUCAAAAAUUCCUUCUUAGUGUUCAGCUCCGUUAUAUGAUGGACUCCUGUACAAAAUUUCAUGCUUCUAUACCCACCGAUUUAAGCUGUGCAUUAUCAGUCAGUCAAUAUUGAGUUUUAUUAAGUAGAUUGAGUGUUCCAACAUUAUCUUUCAGAUUUGUUUUACACUUUCGUUCCUGCAAAUGAGCAGAGAUCCCGAACCUGUAAGAUGGCUCUCUGGAGUUGGGGCCUUGCCGAGAGGCUGGCAUACCCCUCUGGGGUUUGGAAAUCUGACGAGGGCCCAGCGGGCAUCCUGAACCCCUAGGAUGGCCCUCAUUGGAAACGAGGCCUGUCUGUUCGUUCGCAGUUGUUUGUGCAAAACGUGCGGUCGGACUUUCGACCCAGUUUUCAGAGACGACGACUUGGCGAUGCUGCCUCCGGCAGCCGAGGAAAAGCCUUCGUUCUCGAAAUUUUCGUUGUCCUCAACAGGGCUGUGUUGGGUGUAUUGCAGGGAGCUAGCUGUGAUGGGAAGAGUAUGUGAAUGCAAAUGUAUAAAAGUGGGUGCUCUCCUGGCCUAAACACAUUUGUACAUGUACUCUUAAAUCUUUGACCUUCCGGAGAAUUGCUUAGAAGACCCACUAACUGCAGGAUGAGAAUGUCAUCCAUCUUCCCAGACCAUAACUCGGAACUAAUGCUAGGCACUUGUGCAUCAAUUACAACGGGAUGACCGUAGGCCUCAACUGAGGGUAAAAUACACAUACUGCACUACCACUAGCAUGUGGCAUAGAACCCAUAUUCCAGUACAUCCCUCGGAACUCAAGAGUUAAGCUUUUUCUUCUUCUUCUGUGAAGCGUGUUUGUUAAAAUGUUGUAGGAACCCUCCCGGGAACCUGGGUUUUUGUUGAGGUGAUUGUCAUGUCAAGUAUUUGGUCUCAUUCUGAUACAAAAUUUUCGUUCUUUGAACGUAUGUAGUCUUUAGAAGGAGUCAGACAAGCAAUGAACACAUUUGUGUGGUUUACGUAUUGGCAUUCCAUAAGCGUGCUUAUUCUAAAGUGUAAAGUUUGUGUGUAGUUAAAAUGGUUGUAAAUUCUAAUGGUUGGCAAAGUUUAUGCAAAAGUAAUGUAACGUUUCGUCAAUUAUUUUUAAUAUUAAGCAAAUCAUAAUAUUAGUGACUGCUAGACAUGUAAACUAAGAUAGGGUGUAUGCUGAAUUGCUUUGAAUAUUGCAUUUCUUCUCACUACCCAUUUUACACCAUAGUGAUUAACUGAAAUGCCUUACUCAUAGCCUAAUGGUGUUGAAGAGUACAUACUAUCAAUUUUGAGUUAUAAUUUGAGUUGUUCAUAUUCAUUCUCUUAAUUUUAAAAUUCUUGUUUUAUGCAAAACCAGUACUUUUUACUAGCAAAUUACACAUGCAUUUAAUAUGUAUGUUGUAUGUAUGUGUGUGUGUAUAUAAUUUGUCAUUGACACAGUUUUUACUCCACCUUCUUCUACGUUCAUGAGUGCGUUCAUCAUUGUUUUGGGACAGUUUCGAUUCACACGGUCAUGUUGCCAUCAGGAAAGUGCCUCACAUUUUUAAUUUCUUCGGUACAACAGCAUAUUUUACAUUUUAUGUCUUUCCUCAGAGCAAAUAUAAUGUGAAUACAACAAAUAUAUUAAAUCAUUAAAUACCAAAGAAUAAAAUUUAACAUAAUUGAUUGCUACAAAGAAUAUCCCAUAUUGAAAGGUGCAUUAAUGCAAUGCCUGUUAUUCAUGAUCAUUUUAUCUACCGGAGAAAACAUGAUUACCAAAUUCUUGCUCUUGCAUUUUUAAAGUUUUCUUCCCUAAUUCAAGACAAAUAACAUAUGAAUUUAGUUCUGAGUAAACAAAUCACAGAAUUAUAACUAUGCUGGUAUAGUCAAAUGCCAUGCUAUACCACGAUUAUACCUAUUACAGUGUAGAUGAUAAAAGUUUUUUUUAUGUAUCAAAGAUUGUUUUUAUUUUUCCUUAUAGUGGGGUCAUAUAUGCUCAAAAAUUUUUAUUUACUCUUGUCAAAUUUUAUUUCAAAAUGCUAUGUUGCAUGACAUUUUAGUCCUAUGAAUAUAUUUGAAGGCUGUUCAUGUUAGCAACUCUCUAUUCAAAGUUUAACAUUGCCCAUUUUGUGUAGAAAAAAAUUAAAUCAACCUUAAUAGUAAUGAAGUAGAUUAAUUAAAUAUGUAACAGAAUCACAGUUGUCAAUAAUAUUUUCAAUCAAACAUACAAACGAAUGUGUCUGAGAAAAUAAUCUUGAUUUUCAGUUAGCCUAGAGGUAUAAUAUUUCAGGAGGUUUUUCCAUUUUUUCUUCAGUGUAGAUUCUUUCACGUCACUUCCAUGAUUCGCCCAAAGAGUGAAUGUCAUCUUUGAGGUUAAUUUUCUUUAGGCUUUCAACAGUGAUUAGAUCACUUUCUAGGUUCUCAAGCAAAUGUUUCAACAGUCUUUGCCGGUAAUGGCGUUUCAGAUAAUAAAAAAACUCAGUCAAUUGAAGCUUGGUUGAUCUAGACUCAACUGUAAGUAGAAAAAUAUAAUUGCUGUAAAAACUAAUUUUCCAUCAUCUAGACCUUUAAGUUUCUGAAAGAUGUCAUUUAAGCAUACUAUGAUUGCACACAAAUCUGUACAAAAGUCUAAGCAAACAUUUGUGAACAAUUUUUAAUUAGGAACUUUAGUGUAAUGUGAAUAGUAUAAUUUUUACAGCCUAUGAUGUAAAAUUUACCUACUGCGUGUAUUCCUAACAAUAGCCAAAAACUAGUUAUCAAGGCCUGGAAAGCAUAUGUGAAAGAAAUUAUAAUCACUUUAAGCACAAUCCUAACUGCAUGUAUUGGUCUAAUUUAUCCUGCUUUGCAGUCAUAGUAAUAAUCUGUCACGGCUUGUGUCUUCUGGUGAUAUGAAUAUUAAAAAAAUCACGGUUGAUAGGUUUAUGUUGGCGCUGGCAAGGGUAGCCUCACGCUUUGAUAGCAAACACACCACUGUCGUCUGUUCCUGCUCAAACCUCCGUUCAGACAUUAGCCGUUCACUCAGUUAACUUUUAUUUAUACAAAAGCCACUAGGGCUGGUAAAAGCAUUAAUUAAACGGACACAUUUUGGGUCAUUCCAUGUCAAAUCUACAAAAUAAUAAUAAUUUUGAACUUGGUUCCUAUGAAGUACGUAAAAAUAGGUAUUAAAAGUUUUUCAGUGAAUAUUUUUUUCUUUUCAAAUAAAUAAUUUAAAAUUAGAAAAUACUACCUUUUUUUUGUCAACAUUGUUCAGAAAAAUGGCUCUUGUUUUUUAAUUAGUACACUUAGAAACUUUGAAUAGGGCUCAUUUAUAAGAGCUUGAAAAUAGUUACAGUUUUAUGAUACAUGGGUAACUUUAUGAUAAAACAAAUUUCCGAAAAGCUUAUAAAAUAUUUAAAAAAUAUUAAAAAACACAAAUUUUAAAAUUUUAAUUUGUUUGGGGGGGAAAGGGGAAAAUGUUAGUCUUGUAGGUUUUGUUUGUGACUUUUUUUACGGAACAUCAUUUUAGGACAAGCAAUGAAUGAUGUUUAAAAAAAAAUUAGAAAUAAACUAUGUGAAGUCAACUGUGAAAAAUAUGCACACAAUUAGAGUGCUUCAGUUAAGUAUCCUUAUUGAAGUACACAACACCCAAGUGGAUGGUGGAUUGAGUAUUUGUCCAAUGAUAAGACUGAACUUCAUUCUGUAGAAUAAAGGAAUAAUUUUUUGAGAAAUCACAUUCAAAUAAGUCUGUAACUGAGAAACAGCAGCUUGCAAAUUUUUUAAGGUAUUAUACCCUAUAAGUACACUAAUGACGUGACAUAGUUAACCAACACAUCCUUGUCAUGUUAGAAUGCAAGUCUGGCCAAAUAUUUUGUACUUAACUGCAAAUAAUGUUUUUCUAUUAAUUUUUCAACUUUAUCCCAUUUUUGUCCUAAAAUGAAAUUUGCUAGGAAACAUCACAAAACAAGCAAUAAUAUUUUUUUUUCUCAGGCAAAUUAAAAUUGGUGUUUUUUUUUGUUUAAAAAAAUUCUAUAAAUUGUAGCAAUUUUAAAUAGCUUUUAAAUGGGCUCUAUUUAAGCUUUCUGGGCACAAUAGUUAAAAAAAAAAAAGAUUUAUUUUACUGAACCAAUGUUGACCAAAAAUAGCUUUAUUUUCUCUUUUUAAAUAAUUAAAAAAACCACUAACUCAAAAAAUUUAAACAAAACAUAUUUAUAAUUUACUUAAUAAGAAUAAUGUUAAGUACCAAAAAUAAUGGAAGUCUUAAGACAUUAAAGUCAGAUCUUAGGUUGAUUUGACAUGAAAUGACCCUUCAUCCAAUCACAUUGUGAAAAAGACGCACAUGCCGCUUUGUCACGCAGCACACACCCUCUCUGGUGAGAGAAUCUGGAAGCUCUCAAGCCACACCUGCACAAAAUGCCUGAGGGCAGGCUUCAUUUCAGUCACGUUUUACACAUGGGCGGAGAUAGGCAAAUUCACAAAUUUAUGGUCUAAAUUAUCGAACUUUAAUAGUUUAUACAACUUUUCAUGAAAGAGAAUUUCAACACAUGAAUUUAAAUAUUUAAGUGAACACAAAUAUACCCUACUAAAUAAAAACAAAAAAAGGCUCGUGAGGGGCUAGUUCUUGAUUUCGCACACAUUGAUCUUUUUCGAAGAUUUACAUAUUGUUUAAUUACCUUACCUGUGUACCUGUGAAAUUUUCAAGUGGAGCGUAUGAGUGGACAGCCUUUACAUUAGUAAUUCCUAAAAGGGACAGCCAAUUUUUUUCAAUUUAGUUGGUACUUUUUUUUUCCACUUGUCAGGGCUGACCCUUUGGAAAAAUGUUGACAUGAAAGUAAAUUUGCCUGUAAUAAGCCUUCUGCUUUUUUAAAUUUUGUAUAUAUAUUUUUUUAUGUAGGAUGUAAUGGGUAGUUUAAUAUAGUUUUAAUUUGAAGAAUAAAAAAAAAUCCAAGGAAUUUUAUCUGAAGCACCUUUGGCUAAAUUAGGAUAAACAAAAAUAAUAUUCUAGCCAAGAUUUUAAAAUAUUUAAACCUAUGUCUAGUGUUUUAAUUGCUUUAUAAAUGUUGAGAAAUCUAAUUAAUGAUAACUAUUCCACAUUUCAAAUGGUUUACAGAAAACUAGAAAAUUUUUGGGUAUUUAAACAGUCAAAAUUAGUUUGUUCACAGAUAUUAACACCGUAAGAAAUAACACUGCCCGUGUGAGAGUAGUGUUUAAAAUUUCUUUAAAAUUUUCACCAGCUUGUCACCAUCACAUUUUGUAUUUUUUAACUGUUCUUGUAGAAAAGAUGUGAACAGUGAUCUUCGUACACUCUUGGCUUUUGAUUUUUAGUUUCUGUGUCUUUCUUUCUGAAGUGGAAGCACAGGUAUUUUUAUUGUUGGAUUGGUUCUUACCGUAUGUAGUGCACAUUUUAUGCACCAUCUGUUAAUUGGUAGCCAUUCAUUGUUUUGUUUGAAAUUAAUUUGUGAGUUACAGUAAAUUGUAUUCGUGAAUGUUCUGUGGUAAGCUGUCUUGACAGGUUUAUAUUUUGCAGUGUGAUUGUAUUUAAUUCAGCUGGAAUCACUACACUUCAUUUGGUUUUGAUUUGUAAUUACGUACAUGGAUUCUUGUUUCAAGACUGUUACAAUGCAGAGAUGAAAUUAUUUUGUGAUCUAGAUGGCAUAUUGGUACAGGAAUUGCUAAAGUGUCUACUAGCAAUAAUGUUAGGCAGCCAGUCAUAAUGGCUGCACAUGUAAUAUUUGCAUUUUCUUAAAAUACAUACCGUAGUAUUGUGACAAAAACUUUUGACCAUGGCCACAAAAUAUUGCAUUUGUGUUGGAGCUUAACAUUUUAUUAUUUAAAAAGAAUUUGUAAAAACUUGCACAAAAUGCAUUGAGCAGUUAUUUUUAAAAUGUUACGUGUUGAAAAUUAUUAGUUUGUUACAGAUGUUAAUUGUAAGAAUUGUUGUGUUAUAAUAUAAUGAUGUUGAAUUCUUAAAACCUCUGGUGUUGCAGUAUUUUUGCUUGUACCACCUGCAUCUGUUUGUAUGAGUAAUUUGAAUCAAAACUAGUUCACUUUGUGGUAUUACAAAUUCUGAACUUGGGGGAGGGGGGGGGGAAGACAUCACACUGCAGGUAAUGUCUUGAAUUUUGGAAUGAAGGGUUCUGUUAGUUGAAAAAUAAAUUUCACUACAACUUUUGUUUCAAAUUUCGGUUAUCAUCCACCUACUGUGAUGUGUGCACCGUAACAGAUACUUUCAUUGGAUGUUUGAAAUGAAAGCAUUAACAGCUGUUACGUGAGUGAUAAUGGUAUCUGUGGUUGUGGACAUGUGAUUUCUUAGCUUGUUAAAUUUGUGAUUGCUAAAAUGCUUGUGAAUUUGUUUGAAGCAGUUUGAUGCAUUAAAAUUAUUUUGUUUCACAGUUUGCAUUGCCUGCAUUUUUGUAAUGUAAUGGACGUUGGUUUAGCUGCUGCCAGUUACGUGUUAACGUAGUUAUUAUUUACCUGUGGGGCAGUAAACCAGAAACAUAAGUUUACAUGAUUGAAAAUUAGCAGUGGUAUAAUUCAAAUGCUAAACAAUGCUUGGACAUAUUUGAAAAGUUUUUGUGUUUUACUGUGUGAAGUUAAAAAAAAAAGAUUCACUUAAAAUAUUUGUAACACACAUGCUAAAUUGCUUAAAAGUAGCAUGAACAAAGAUAGGAAGCUUGUUAUCAGUUGUUGUAAGUGACUGAAAUUUUUAAAAUUACAUGCCAUACCACCUGAAAGAUUUUAUUUUGUUGUGCACUGAAAACAAUUUCAUACCUAUUUGUUUAUUUUUUUAACUCUGUACAUAUGGAAAAAAAUAAAAGCAAAUUGUCAGAAUUAUGAUAAAAAAGUGAAUGUGCCGUGAUUUUGGCCUUCUAUGUCUCUUCUUGAAGCUCUCUAUUUUUUGUAUAAUAUGUUAAUAAACAUGAGACCAGUAUUAUUAGGUAUUAAUAUUUUUUUACAUUUUUCGAUGUGUGCCAAUGUAGUAGAGGCAUUUAUGUCUGGUUGUAAUAUGUGUAAUGUUUAGUGUUUUGAGUAUGAUGUACAUAUUGCAAUGUAAAUAAUUUGUUUUUAAAAUGUUGAUGCACAAUAAAUCAUUUGAAACCAUGAAUACAUGUCGUAGGCAUCAAAAUUUUUCUUUUGUUCAGUAAGCAUUGUUAUUGUUUUUAAUGCAUUAUUUUAAUGCUGUUGGCAUCUUUCCAGUCAGUAGUCAAGUGUAGUUUCUUGCCCCUAGAAAUUCUGGAGCUAGAAAUGUAUUAUGAUUAAGAAAGAGUGCUAUAUCAUAUAUGUAUAUUUAUGUUCUUGUUUACCUAACACCUUGACUAUAUGCUUAUAUUUUUCUUAUAUAUAGUUACUAUAAAAACUUAUUUUUCAAGUUAGGUAUUUAAUUUCAUAAACAACUUUUAAAAAAGGCAAGAAUUUUGUUCCCAAUUUUUUGUUUGCAAUGUGAAUAGUAUCUGACUUCACAGCAAUAACCAAAGUGAUAUCAGGUGUAAAUCUUGGUUUCAAAAUGUUAAACAAAUUAAAAUAAUCUUUUGAUGUGAUUCAUCAAACUUGCAGUUGUAACAAGAUUCCCAAAUGCCCAUGUUAUUUUACUAAAGACAAAAAAAAGCAUUAAUGGUAAAUUAUUAAUGAUUUUUAUUUUUUGAAGUAAUUAAUAUUUUUUUUAUAGAUAUAUUUGCAUGCUCCAGAACUGUGAAUGUAGAUUUAGUAUCGACACUCUUUUUUAUCCAGCUAUAAAUGGACUUAAUAUGAUUUAUAAUAUAAGCAUAUAUAUAUAUAUAUCUCUUGAUCUCAGUUGAACAAACUAUAUUAACAGCCUUGUUCAUUGUAAACUGGACUUUGGUUCAAAUACAGUUUUGUUAUAAAAUUAAAGCUAAGAGUAUGCAAUCAAAUAUUUUAAACAUCUAUAUAUUUGCUACCAUUUUAUUAGUUGUGGAAUUAACAGUACAUUUAUACAGAAUGAGAGAUACACAGUAUAUGAGAUACACAGUAUAAAAGUAUUUUUUAAGUACAAUUUUGGUACUAGUCACUAUACUUUUCACUUAAUUGUUUUUGUGUGCUUAAUUUCUAAAAUGUGAUAUUUUUUAUAUUUACUACGAAAUUUAAAAAUAAAAAAUAAAUGGUUCUGUUUAGUCUGUAUUACAAUUCAAACUACUAAUCAAGUAUUUUUUCUAAAAAUAAUUAUGUUAUAUGAUUUAUGACUAGCAUUUUUUAUAAUUUUUUUUAAGGCAACCACCACGUUAACAUUUUGACAAUUUUUUUAUGUUUUUAAGUUACCCCAAAUUUUUUUAAUUAGAAAUAUUGGACUAAUACAUCAUAUUAAACCAGACUUUACAUCCUUAUUUGUGAGAAACUUAUCCAGUUGAAGAUGACUAAAAAGUUGAUUUUCACACUAGUACUACCUAUUUUUUUAAAGUUAGUAAAAUUUCAAAUGGCUGUGUAAUAGUGUGUUCAACAUGAGACUAUACAAUGUUAGGAACUAAAUGUUCAUGUUUAUUGCUGUGCAUAGUAGUUUUGUGUUUGUAUUUAUUAUCCAUUACCAAAGCUCUAGUCUAGCUGAUAGUUUAAUAGUUAGAACAGUAUUUGUUUUUUUGUGUUAUGUUGAUAUUUUACUAUCUAUCACAAUUUGUCUUUGACUUAUUUCAGCUCACCUUAUUUUUGUCUAACAUGUACUGUUUGGAAGACAUUUAAAUUUGCAGUUACAUGAAUAUUUAUGUAAUAAUGUAGUUUGGAAUUUGAGUGUGAUAGUUUGUGCUUGCUUGUAAGUAAAGAUACAUUUUAAAGGGACAAGUGCUUUGAUUGCAGAACAUUUUACAGCAAAACCAUUAUAACAAUAAUUCUUAGAAAAUAAUUUUUUCUUUUCUUUUCUGUGUGAAUAAAAUUUUCUACCUUGUAAUAUGCAAAUGUUA